UACGGAGGGGGCUAGCGUUGUUCGGAAUUACUGGGCGUAAAGCGCGCGUAGGCGGCUUUGUAAGUCAGAGGUGAAAUCCUGGGGCUCAACUCCGGAACUGCCUUUGAAACUGCAUCGCUUGAAUGUCGGAGAGGUGAGUGGAAUUCCGAGUGUAGAGGUGAAAUUCGUAGAUAUUCGGAAGAACACCAGUGGCGAAGGCGGCUCACUGGACGACUAUUGACGCUGAGGUGCGAAAGCGUGGGGAGCAAACAGG
rnacentral:rRNA from 1 species